GCCGGUGUAGCUCAAUAGGAAGAGCAACUGAUUUGUAAUCAGUAGAUCAAAGGUUCGAAUCCUUUUGCCGGCA
rnacentral:tRNA from 2 species